rnacentral:rRNA from 1 species
AUACGGAGGAUCCGAGCGUUAUCCGGAUUUAUUGGGUUUAAAGGGUGCGCAGGCGGCCAUUUAAGUCAGCGGUUAAAUCGUGGGGCUCAACCCCAUUCUGCCGUUGAUACUGGGUGGCUUGAUUGCGGUCGAGGUUGGCGGAAUUCGUUGUGUAGCGGUGAAAUGCAUAGAUAUGACGAAGAACACCGAUUGCGUAGGCAGGUGACCAGACCGCAAAUGACGCUCAUGCACGAAAGUGCGGGGAUCGAACAGGAUUAGAUACCCUGGUAGUCCGCACAGUAAACGAUGAAUACUUGUUUUCGGCGAUAUAAUGUCGGAGGCAAAGCGAAAGCGAUAAGUAUUCCACCUGGGGAGUACGCCGGCAACGGUGAAACUCAAAGGAAUUGGCGG